GACGAACGCUGGCGGCGUGCUUAACACAUGCAAGUCGAGCGAGGCCCCUCCUUCGGGAGGGUGUCCUAGCGGCGAACGGGUGAGUAACACGUGGGCAACCUGCCCUCAGCUCUGGGAUAACUCCGGUAAACCGGGGCUAAUACCUGAUACGACCUCCACUGGCAUCUGCGGAGGUGGAAAGUUUUUCGGCUGAGGAUGGGCCCGCGGCCUAUCAGCUAGUUGGUGGGGUAGUGGCCCACCAAGGCGACGACGGGUAGCCGGCCUGAGAGGGCGACCGGCCACACUGGGACUGAGACACGGCCCAGACUGCUACGGGAGGCAGCAGUGGGGAAUAUUGCGCAAUGGGCGACAGCCUGACGCAGCGACGCCGCGUGAGGGACGAAGGCCUUCGGGUUGUAAACCUCUUUCAGCGGGGACGAAGCGAAAGUGACGGUACCUGCAGAAGAAGCACCGGCCAACUACGUG
rnacentral:rRNA from 1 species